GUCCUCGUGGAGCAUGAUAGCUCGCUCCCGCUAGUUGAGGACUGUAGCUGUCGGUAGAUUGUAUCGGGGAAAGUCGGUGGUUCGAUUCCACCCGAGGACA